AGGGAAUCUUCCACAAUGGACAAAGUCUGAUGGAGCCAAGGCGCGGGAGUGAUUAAGGGUUUCGGAUCGGAAAACUCUGGUGGUAGGGAAGAAACAGGAAGGCAGGGAAUGGACGUACCUUGACGGUAACUUAAUAGGAAGCCACGGGUAAAUAAGGGCCAGCAGCCGCGGUAAUACGUAGGUGGCAAGCGUUGUCCGGAAUUAUUGGGCGUAAAGCGCGCGCAGGUGGUUUCUUAAGUCUGAUGUGAAAGCCCACGGCUUAACCGUGGAGAGUCAUUGGAAACUGGGAGACUUGAGUGCAGAAGAGGAAAGUGGAAUUCCAAGUGUAGCGGUGAAAUGCGUAGAGAUUUGGAGGAACACCAGUGGCGAAGGCGACUUUCUGGUCUGCAACUGACGCUGAGGCGCGAAAGCAUGGGGAGCAAACA
rnacentral:rRNA from 1 species